GUGAACGCUGGCGGUAGGCCUAGCACAUGCCAGUCGCACGGCAGCACAGUAAGAGCUUGCUCUUACGGGUGGCGAGUGGCGGACGGGUGAGGAAUACAUCGGAAUCUACUUUUUCGUGGGGGAUAACGUAGGGAAACUUACGCUAAUACCGCAUACGACCUACGGGUGAAAGCAGGGGAUCUUCGGACCUUGCGCGAUUGAAUGAGCCGAUGUCGGAUUAGCUAGUUGGCGGGGUAAAGGCCCACCAAGGCGACGAUCCGUAGCUGGUCUGAGAGGAUGAUCAGCCACACUGGAACUGAGACACGGUCCAGACUCCUACGGGAGGCAGCAGUGGGGAAUAUUGGACAAUGGGCGCAAGCCUGAUCCAGCCAUACCGCGUGGGUGAAGAAGGCCUUCGGGUUGUAAAGCCCUUUUGUUGGGAAAGAAAAGCAGCAGGUUAAUACCCCGCUGUUCUGACGGUACCCAAAGAAUAAGCACCGGCUAACUUCGUG
rnacentral:rRNA from 1 species